rnacentral:misc_RNA from 1 species
GAUGAAGAACGUAGCGAAAUGCGAUAAGUAAUGUGAAUUGCAGAAUUCAGUGAAUCAUCGAAUCUUUGAACGCACAUUGCGCCCGCCAGUAUUCUGGCGGGCAUGCCUGUUCGAGCGUCAUUUCAACCAUCAAGCCCCCGGCUUGUGUUGGGGACCUGCGGCUGCCGCAGGCCCUGAAAUGCAGUGGCGGGCUCGCUGUCACUCCGAGCGUAGUAGUUACAUCUCGCUCUGGGCGUGCUGCGGGUUCCGGCCGUUAAAAGCCUUAUUUACCCAAGGUUGACCUCGGUUCAGGUAGGAAGACCCGCUGAACUUAAGCAUAUCAAUAAGCGGAGGA